UACAUUAUAGCCAUAAAGGGAACACUUAUACGGCUAUUCAGUACACUUUAAACUUUUGUUGGAACACCCAUAUAUCUGACGGUGCUAAGUAAGUCUUAAAAUAAAAACUCUAACUAUUGCUUUACUGAGGUACAUCUGUAGUGGUGUAGAGCACACCCAUAUAUCUAGGGAAAAGUGAUAUGACCACUUUUAUAGUGAAGACAUAAUUUUUCACAUCAUAGCCAGAAACGAAACACUAAUAUGGCUAUUCGGUACACUUUAAGCCUUGGUUGGAACACCGAUAUAAUUGACAGUGCUAAUCAAGUCUUAUAAAUAAAGGCUCUAGCUAUGGCUUUACCGAGGUGCAUCUAUAGUGCUAAUGGGCACACCCAUAUAUCUAAUAGUGAUAUAUGCACUUUUAUAGGGUAGACCCGAUUUUUCACAUUAUAGUGAUAAAUGGAACACUUAUAUGGCUAUUCAGUACACUUUAAAUCUUGAUUGGAACACCCAUAUAUCUGACGGUGCUAAGUAAGUCUUAUAAAAAAAGCUCUAGCUAUUGCUUUACUGAGGUACAUCUGUAGUGGUGUAGAGCACACCCAUAUAUCUAGGAAAAAGUGAUAUGACCACUUUUAUAGUGAAGACAUAAUU
rnacentral:lncRNA from 1 species